CUCGAACCGACCUGACCGCGUAGCUCAGCUGGCAGAGCAUUGGGCUAGUAUUCCAAAGGUUGUAGGUUCGAUUCCCACCGUGGCCAGGCAUAUUUUUCCAGCUUGCCCAGUGACACUCAGAAUAACAUCACAAACAUCAUAGUAAGGAUCCAACGCUUAACUAAGUGUCUUGUCAUCUUAUUUAUUCCAUCGCUUUUAUUUGUCUAUAUUUACCAUUUUACCAGUCAUUGUGAUGGCAGGGGUGGGUAGAAGAAUUAAUUUCUGUCAAAUAUUUAAAAGCUGCUGAUGUUAGCGUGUACAGUG